UAAACGAUGAAUGUUAGUCGUCGGGUAGCUAGUCUAUUCGGUGAUGCAGCUAACGCAUUAAACAUUCCGCCUGGGGAGUACGGUCGCAAGAUUAAAACUCAAAGGAAUAGACGGGGACCCGCACAAGUGGUGGAGCAUGUGGUUUAAUUCGAAGAUACGCGAAGAACCUUACCUAGCCUUGACAUAUAUUAGAACUCACCAGAGAUGGAGAGGUGCCUUCGGGAGCUUUUAUACAGGUGCUGCACGGCUGUCGUCAGCUCGUGUCGUGAGAUGUUGGGUUAAGUCCCGCAACGAGCGCAACCCUCGUCACUAGUUACUAACGGUUCGGCCGAGGACUCUAGUGAGACUGCCUUCGUAAGGAGGAGGAAGGUGAGGACGACGUCAAGUCAUCAUGGCCCUUACGGCUAGGGCAACACACGUGCUACAAUGGCCAGGACAGUGAGACGCGAUACCGUGAGGUGGAGCAAAUCUAUAAACCUGGUCUCAGUUCGGAUUGUAGUCUGCAACUCGACUACAUGAAGCUGGAAUCACUAGUAAUCGUAGAUCAGCUAUGCUACGGUGAAUACGUUCCCGGGUCUUGUACUCACCGCCCGUCACACCAUGGGAGUUGAUUUCACCCGAAGCGGGGAAGCUAAACUGGCUACCCUCCACGGUGGAAUUAGCGACUGGGGUGAAGUCGUAACAAGGUAACCAAGGGCGAAUUCGC
rnacentral:rRNA from 1 species